CGGUAGGGCGGGACCGGGGUGGAGUAAUGUCUGGGAAACGUCUCGAUGGAGGGGGAUAACUACUGGAAACGGUAGCUAAUACCGCAUAACGUCGCAAGACCAAAGAGGGGGACCUUCGGGCCUCUUGCCAUCGGAUGUGCCCAGAUGGGAUUAGCUAGUAGGUGGGGUAACGGCUCACCUAGGCGACGAUCCCUAGCUGGUCUGAGAGGAUGACCAGCCACACUGGAACUGAGACACGGUCCAG
rnacentral:rRNA from 1 species